GGCUUGAGGAUGAUGUUGCAAGCCGCACACGCAUCCGACCUCUAGGAGUCGUCCACACGAGCCCACGAAUCUCGAUCAGAAGUCCUGCUUCAGGAAAUCAGCACAGUAUGCUAGUACUGCACUGAUCCUUCUUUGAUGGUUGAUUAGGUGCCUCCUUCUUCUUGAUUUGGACUCUUUCAAAGAUGAAAAGUAGAAGGAGGAGUUUCAGAUCUGAGACACUCUCAGGAAACUCAAGAUGGAGGGAGGAAAGAUGUGAAAACAAAAACCCAAGAAGAAGACCCUCUUCUUCUUCACGUUUUUCUCUCUAGACACCCAAACUUGUGUCUUUUAUAUCUCCACGACCCAAAAGUAUUUCUCUCUUAUUUUUGGAUGGCACAAAGGUCUCUCAAAUCUCUGAGUCCCCUUAAAAUUUCAUGAAGCAACUCAUCUUAUAUAGAGAGAUAUAAUAGAGUCCUUGUCUAGGUCAAACACCUAGUCAAGGCUUAUCCAAACAUGGCAAG
rnacentral:lncRNA from 1 species